CCUACGGGUGGCAGCAGUGAGGAAUAUUGGUCAAUGGCCGGAAGGCUGAACCAGCCAUGCCGCGUGAAGGUCAGUGCCCUAUGGGCGUUAAACUUCUUUUGUGUGGGAGCAAUAAUGGUCACGUUUGGCCAGACGAGAGUACCGUACGACUAAGCAUCGGCUAACUCCGUGCCAGCAGCCGCUGUAAUACGGGGGAUGCAAGCGUUCUCCGGUUUUAUUGGGUUUAAGGGGUGCUGAGGCUGUGAGGUACGUUAGCGGUGAAAUGCCCCCGCUCAACGGGGUGAAGUGCUCUUGAUACUGACGCGCUGGAAUGCGGAUGCCGUGGGAGGAAUGUGGUGUAGCGGUGAAAGGCAUAGAUAUCACACAGAACACCGAUUGCGAAGGCAUCUCACGAAUCCGCGAUUGACGCUGAUGCACGAAAGCGUGGGUAUCAAACAGGAGUAGAUACCCUUGUAGUC
rnacentral:rRNA from 1 species